CCAUUUUUGAGGGAAGUCAGGCCACGAACCUGGAGACAGAGACCGUGGAGGAACACUGAGAACCGGCUUGCUCAGCAGUCCCAAUCAGGUUCCGAAAACCUGGAGGCUUCUUGGAGAGCCUACAAGCCGCCAUGGCAGCAACCAAACAACAGCGAGGCAGAUCAACCGAGAUGCAAGAGAGGCCAACCAAGUGAGAGGUUCCUUCUGCCUGGUCCUGUUUUACCAGGGCCUCUGCCAGAAGGUGCUGCCCACAUUGGAGGUGGAUCUUCCUCAGGUGAGCAACUUUGCCACACCAUGCUUUCUUUGGGUCAUGCUCUGCUUCAACAGAAGCCCAAGACCAUCAGACCAAACCACCUCAGACAGACAGAUGCCUCUGAAGCCUUGCUCCAAAACCUUCCCCCUUCUGUCGCUGUGACUAAAAAAAACAAAUCUAGAGGCAGGAACUGAAGCCCAGGCCAUGAUGGAUGCUUCUCAUCGGUUUGCUUUCCAUGGUUUUCUCAGCCUGCUUUCUUGUAGAACCCUGGACCACCAGCCCAGAGACAGCACUGGUGACAGUGGGUUGUAUCUUUCCACAUCAGUCAUUAAUUAAAAAAGUUCCCCAAAUACUUACCUCCAAGAUAGUCUGAUGGGGGAGUUUUCUCACCUGCUGUUCCUCUUCCCAGAUAACGCUGCCUUGUGUCAAAUUGAAAUAAAAAAAGAACAGCGACCAUGAA